UGAGUUAACCUGCCCUUCACUCUGGGAUAACUCCGGGAAACCGGGGCUAAUACUGGAUAUGACUCGAACAGGCAUCUGUUUCGGGUGGAAAGAUUUAUUGGUGGAGGAUGGACUCGCGGCCUAUCAGCUAGUUGGUGAGGUAAUGGCCCACCAAGGCUUCGACGGGUAGCCGGCCUGAGAGGGUGACCGGCCACACGUGGGACUGAGACACGGCCCAGACCUCCGUACGGGGAGGCA
rnacentral:rRNA from 1 species